CACGCUCGGGGCCAGGCCCUGCCCUUCGUCCGCCCCGCCCACCCUCACCUGCUGUUCCUAGCGUAGUGAAGCUCUGGUGACCAACCGCCAGGGAGAGACAACUAAGUCCCUGGCCCUGGCCCCGAAAGACCAACGAAAGGUGAUUGGGGGCCUUUCCUACGAUUCCCUGGUACCCUAGCUUCUCUCAGAAGGGUCUAAACUCAAAUCGGAGGAAUGGUCUCUGCCCGCGGGGAGGCAGAGCCCAAAGAGGCCUGUAUGGCCAGGCUGGCCUUCCUUUAGUCACAGGAGCCGUCCUUCCAGCCAUCACGCCAGCGUUCAUCCACCUGUGA